CCGGCUGGCCAGAAACUGUGGUGUGUGUGUGUCAGGAUCCCAGGGGCACCGUCCAGCAGGAGGGGCCGGUGGUCAACGUGGAGGCCCGAGAUUCCCACCCCUGGCAGCUGAUGUGAAUAGCCGGGUCCUCCCAGGUCCCUGAGGUCAAGGCAGGUCAAAGACCUGUGUCCUCCUCCUGGGUCCCUGAGCUAGUGAUUCCUGUCUGAAACACAUGAAUCAUUACUGCCACCCAUGAGGGGCCCAUUGUAACCGAGCGAGAGGGCCUGGAAGAGGUCAGCGGGAGGAGGGGCCUGAUCGGUGGAUCAGCUAUCCCUGUGCAAGGACCCGGAGCCCAUCAGAGCAGCCUGCAGAGACUGAGCUUGAG
rnacentral:lncRNA from 1 species